rnacentral:rRNA from 3 species
ACGGGUGAGGAAUGCGUCGGAAUCUGCCUAUUUGUGGGGGAUAACGUAGGGAAACUUACGCUAAUACCGCAUACGACCUACGGGUGAAAGUGGGGGACCGCAAGGCCUCACGCAGAUAGAUGAGCCGACGCCGGAUUAGCUAGUUGGCGGGGUAAAGGCCCACCAAGGCGACGAUCCGUAGCUGGUCUGAGAGGAUGAUCAGCCACACUGGAACUGAGACACGGUCCAGACUCCUACGGGAGGCAGCAGUGGGGAAUAUUGGACAAUGGGCGCAAGCCUGAUCCAGCCAUGCCGCGUGUGUGAAGAAGGCCUUCGGGUUGUAAAGCACUUUUGUCCGGAAAGAAAACCUUUCGAUUAAUACUCGGAGGGAAUGACGGUACCGGAAGAAUAAGCACCGGCUAACUUCGUGCCAGCAGCCGCGGUAAUACGAAGGGUGCAAGCGUUACUCGGAAUUACUGGGCGUAAAGCGUGCGUAGGUGGUUUGUUAAGUCUGAUGUGAAAGCCCUGGGCUCAACCUGGGAACUGCAUUGGAAACUGGCUUACUAGAGUGCGGUAGAGGGUAGUGGAAUUCCCGGUGUAGC